CAUAGGUUAAUGAGGCGAACCGGGGGAACUGAAACAUCUAAGUACCCCGAGGAAAAGAAAUCAACCGAGAUUCCCCCAGUAGCGGCGAGCGAACGGGGAGGAGCCCAGAGCCUGAAUCAGUGUGUGUGUUAGUGGAAGCGUCUGGAAAGGCGCGCGAUACAGGGUGACAGCCCCGUACACAAAAAUGCACAUGCUGUGAGCUCGAUGAGUAGGGCGGGACACGUGGUAUCCUGUCUGAAUAUGGGGGGACCAUCCUCCAAGGCUAAAUACUCCUGACUGACCGAUAGUGAACCAGUACCGUGAGGGAAAGGCGAAAAGAACCCCGGCGAGGGGAGUGAAAAAGAACCUGAAACCGUGUACGUACAAGCAGUGGGAGCACGCUUAGGCGUGUGACUGCGUACCUUUUGUAUAAUGGGUCAGCGACUUAUAUUCUGUAGCAAGGUUAACCGAAUAGGGGAGCCGAAGGGAAACCGAGUCUUAACUGGGCGUUAAGUUGCAGGGUAUAGACCCGAAACCCGGUGAUCUAGCCAUGGGCAGGUUGAAGGUUGGGUAACACUAACUGGAGGACCGAACCGACUAAUGUUGAAAAAUUAGCGGAUGACUUGUGGCUGGGGGUGAAAGGCCAAUCAAACCGGGAGAUAGCUGGUUCUCCCCGAAAGCUAUUUAGGUAGCGCCUCGUGAAUUCAUCUCCGGGGGUAGAGCACUGUUUCGGCAAGGGGGUCAUCCCGACUUACCAACCCGAU
rnacentral:rRNA from 1 species